rnacentral:tRNA from 1 species
GAGAUUUUAUCUUAAUAAAAGGGCCUGAGUUGCAUUCAGGAGAUGUGGGUUAGUGUCCCGCAAGUCUUU